UACGUAGGCAGCGAGCGUUGUUCGGAGUUACUGGGCGUAAAGGGUGUGUAGGCGGUUCUUUUAAGUUUGGCGUGAAAUCUCCCGGCUCAACCGGGAGGGUGCGUCGAAUACUGAGGGACUAGAGUACGGGAGAGGAAAGUGGAAUUCUCGGUGUAGCAGUGAAAUGCGUAGAUAUCGAGAGGAACACCAGUGGCGAAGGCGAGUCUCUGGACGACUCCUGACACUGAGGCACGAAAGCUGGGGGAGCAAACGGG
rnacentral:rRNA from 1 species